rfam:Perkinsela sp. CCAP 1560/4 XT18scaffold_49, whole genome shotgun sequence.
GCUCCCAUAGUGUAGUGGUAAGCACCUUAGACUCUGAAUCUGAUAACCUCGGUUCGAAUCCGAGUGGGAGUG